rnacentral:rRNA from 1 species
CCUACGGGGGGGCAGCAGUGGGGAAUAUUGGACAAUGGGGGCAACCCUGAUCCAGCCAUGCCGCGUGUGUGAAGAAGGCCUUCGGGUUGUAAAGCACUUUCAGUGAGGAAGAAGGCCUGCGGGUCAAUAACCGGCAGGAAGGACAUCACUCACAGAAGAAGCACCGGCUAACUCCGUGCCAGCAGCCGCGGUAAUACGGAGGGUGCGAGCGUUAAUCGGAAUUACUGGGCGUAAAGCGCGCGUAGGUGGCUUGAUAAGCCGGUUGUGAAAGCCCCGGGCUCAACCUGGGAACGGCAUCCGGAACUGUCAGGCUAGAGUGCAGGAGAGGAAGGUAGAAUUCCCGGUGUAGCGGUGAAAUGCGUAGAGAUCGGGAGGAAUACCAGUGGCGAAGGCGGCCUUCUGGACUGACACUGACACUGAGGUGCGAAAGCGUGGGUAGCAAACAGGAUUAGAUACCCCAGUAGUC